GCCCUGUUAGCUCAAUUGGCAGAGCGUGGGACUUUUAGGCCAUAACAUGGCUAUCCCAAGGUUGUGGGUUCGAGACCCACAUAGGGCG